rnacentral:rRNA from 1 species
GACGAACGCUGGCGGCGUGCUUAACACAUGCAAGUCGAGCGGAAAGGCCACUUCGGUGGUACUCGAGCGGCGAACGGGUGAGUAACACGUGAGUAAUCUGCCCUUCACUCUGGGAUAGCCACCGGAAACGGUGAUUAAUACCGGAUACGACCACUCCACGCAUGUGGUGGUGGUGGAAACUUUUUGGGUGGGGGAUGUGCUCGCGGCCUAUCAGCUUGUUGGUGGGGUAAUGGCCUACCAAGGCUUCGACGGGUAGCCGGCCUGAGAGGGUGACCGGCCACGCUGGGACUGUGACACGGCCCAGACUCCUACGGGAGGCAGCAGUGGGGAAUAGUGGACAAGGGGCGGAAGCCUGAUCCAGCAACGCCGCGUGAGGGAUGACGGCCUUCGGGUUGUAAACCUCUUUCAGCACCGACGAAGCGCAAGUGACGGUAGGUGCAGAAGAAGGACCGGCCAACUACGUGCCAGCCGCCGCCGUAA